GGGGAUGUAGCUCAGAUGGGAGAGCGCCACGUUCGCAACGUGGAGGUCGUGGGUUCGAUCCCCAUCAUCUCCACCA
rnacentral:tRNA from 2 species